UGGCAAAAAUGUGUUGAUUGUAAUGGUUUCUAUUUUGAUUAAUAAAGAUGUGUUUGAGCCUAGUUGUAAUAAUUUAAAAUUCAAGGUCCAAAACUGCAUUUACUUUUGCAUCACC
rnacentral:miRNA from 1 species